rnacentral:rRNA from 1 species
CAGUCGCCGCGGUAAUACGAGGGGGGCAAGCGUUGUUCGGAAUUAUUGGGCGUAAAGGGUGCGUAGGCGGUUUGACAAGUCUUAUGUGAAAUCUAUGGGCUCAACCCAUAGUCUGCAUCGGAAACUGUCAGGAUUGAGAGUGUGAGAGGUGAGUGGAAUUUCCGGUGUAGCGGUGAAAUGCGUAGAUAUCGGAAGGAACACCUGUGGCGAAAGCGGCUCACUGGACCAUUUCUGACGCUGAUGCACGAAAGCUAGGGGAGCAAACAGGAUUAGAUACCCCCGUAGUCCCUGUCUCUUAUAC